rnacentral:ncRNA from 1 species
CACAGGUUUGGUCCUGGCCUUUCUAUUAAUUCUUAAUAAAAUUACACAUGCAAGUAUCCGCGCCCCGGUGAGAAUGCCCUCCAGAUCCUAAAGAUCAAAAGGAGCAGGUAUCAAGCACACCUAUAACGGUAGCUCAUAACGCCUUGCUCAACCACACCCCCACGGGAAACAGCAGUGAUAAAAAUUAAGCCAUGAACGAAAGUUUGACUAAGUUAUAUUAAUUAGAGUUGGUAAAUCUCGUGCCAGCCACCGCGGUCAUACGAUUAACCCAAAUUAAUAGAUCCACGGCGUAAAGAGUGUUUAAGAAAAAAAAACCACAAUAGAGUUAAAUUAUAACUAAGCUGUAAAAAGCCCUAGUUAAAAUAAAAUAACCCACGAAAGUGACUCUAAUAAUCCUGACACACGAUAGCUAGGACCCAAACUGGGAUUAGAUACCCCACUAUGCCUAGCCCUAAACCCAAAUAGUUACAUAACAAAACUAUUCGCCAGAGUACUACUCGCAACUGCCUAAAACUCAAAGGACUUGGCGGUGCUUCACAUCCACCUAGAGGAGCCUGUUCUAUAAUCGAUAAACCCCGAUAGACCUUACCAACCCUUGCCAAUUCAGCCUAUAUACCGCCAUCUUCAGCAAACCCUAAAAAGGAACAAUAGUAAGCACAAUCAUAACACAUAAAAACGUUAGGUCAAGGUGUAGCUUAUGGGUUGGAAAGAAAUGGGCUACAUUUUCUACAUAAGAAUACCCACCGUACGAAAGUUUUUAUGAAACUAAAAACCAAAGGAGGAUUUAGCAGUAAAUCAAGAAUAGAGUGCUUGAUUGAAUAAGGCCAUGAAGCACGCACACACCGCCCGUCACCCUCCUCAAGCAUGUAGUAAUAAAAAUAACCUAUAUUCAAUUACACAACCAUGCAAGAAGAGACAAGUCGUAACAAGGUAAGCAUACUGGAAAGUGUGCUUGGAUUAC